CCCCAGAUGUUGCUGAACUACAACUCCCAUGAUUCUCGGCUAUCUAUGUAAUUUAAAGAAUCAUGGGAGUUGUAGUUCAGCAACAUCUGGGG